rnacentral:lncRNA from 1 species
GUUUCUUUGCCUCCUGCAGUCUGUGCCUUCCACCAUGAUCAUGAGGCUUCCCCAGCCACACAGAACUAGAAGGAGUCUUGCCAUAUUACCCAGGCUGGUCUUGAACUUCCGGGCUCAAGUGAUGUGCUCGCCUUGGCCUCCCAAAGUGCUGGAAUUACAGGCAUGAGCCACUGCGCCCAGCCCCCAUGUCUUCCUUUUUUAGAAAAGAGUUAAAAGGUCCUGAAUUCCAGCAGAAUGGCUGAAGCCAACCAGUCUCAAGACCUCAACCAAGGAACCAACCAACUCUGCACAGGAAUGCGGUUUCUUCAUCUCCCUGUCCCAGGAAUUCCCCCUUGCUUCUUGACCAAUCAGCAAUCCCCACAUUUUAGCCCUACCUGUUCAGACCCUUUACAAGCUCCAUCCCCAAACCCUGGAGGGAGGAGGAUUUGAAGGUUCCUCUGUCUCAUUUGACUGCCCUACAAUUAUUAAACUCUUUCUCUACUGCAACU